UACGUAGGGUGCAAGCGUUAAUCGGAAUUACUGGGCGUAAAGCGUGCGCAGGCGGUUAUUUAAGACAGGUGUGAAAUCCCCGGGCUCAACCUGGGACCUGCAUUUGUGACUGUAUAGCUAGAGUACGGUAGAGGGGGAUGGAAUUCCGCGUGUAGCAGUGAAAUGCGUAGAUAUGCGGAGGAACACCGAUGGCGAAGGCAAUCCCCUGGACCUGUACUGACGCUCAUGCACGAAAGCGUGGGGAGCAAACAGG
rnacentral:rRNA from 1 species